rnacentral:rRNA from 1 species
UAUUGCACAAUGGGGGAAACCCUGAUGCAGCGACGCCGCGUGAAGGAAGAAGUAUUUCGGUAUGUAAACUUCUAUCAGCAGGGAAGAAAAAAGACGGUACCUGACUAAGAAGUCCCGGCUAACUACGUGCCAGCAGCCGCGGUGAUACGUAUGGUGCAAGCGUUAUCCGGAUUUACUGGGUGUAAAGGGAGCGCAGGCGGCACGGCAAGCCUGAUGUGAAAGCCCGCGGCCCAACCGCGGGACUGCAUUGGGAACUACCGGGCUGGAGUGCCGGAGAGGUAGGCGGAAUUCCUAGUGUAGCGGUGAAAUGCGUAGAUAUUAGGAGGAACACUAGUGGCGAAGGCGGCCUACUGGACGGUGACUGACGCUGAGGCUCGAAAGCGUGGGGAACAAACAGG